rnacentral:piRNA from 1 species
CAUGACUCUAAACUUAACACUGA